UCUUGACAUCCACGGAAGUUUUCAGAGAUGAGAAUGUGCCUUCGGGAACCGUGAGACAGGUGCUGCAUGGCUGUCGUCAGCUCGUGUUGUGAAAUGGUGGGUUAAGUCCCGCAACGAGCGCAACCCUUAUCCUUUGUUGCCAGCGGUCCGGCCGGGAACUCAAAGGAGACUGCCAGUGAUAAACUGGAGGAAGGUGGGGAUGACGUCAAGUCAUCAUGGCCCUUACGACCAGGGCUACACACGUGCUACAAUGGCGCAUACAAAGAGAAGCGACCUCGCGAGAGCAAGCGGACCUCAUAAAGUGCGUCGUA
rnacentral:rRNA from 1 species